GUAAUACUCCCUCCGUCCAAAAAUACUUGUCAUCAAAAUGGAUAAAAAGAGAUGUAUUUAGAACUAAAAUACAUCUAGAUACAUCCCUUUUUAUUCAUUUUGAUGACAAGUAUUUUCGGACGGAGGGAGUACUAU
rnacentral:pre_miRNA from 1 species